CCAUGGCUCAACUGGAUAGAGUACUUGACUACGAAUCAAGCGGUUGCAGGUUCGAAUCCUGCUGGGUGC
rnacentral:tRNA from 1 species